GGCGGGACGCUGAGAGUCGAGGCGCAGCUCCCGGCCGCAGAUGUUCAGGUCGGCCUGGGCAGCGGAGCGCAGCAGCGGAAGCUCCACCGUCACCACCAGCUCCCGUGGCACCGGGCUGGGCGCCGAGUCGCGGCUAUACCGGUAGUCUUGCAGUUAAAGGUUCCAUGAAGGCCCUUGGGAGGGUUGGGGCUGUUACACACUUCCAUUUGACAAAAACACAGUUUCUGCAGCUAAGCAAGAAACAAUCAGACAAGGUAAGUUUGAAUUUUUCCCACUGGGUUAUAACAUCGGUAUUUCACACAGGCAAAUUUUCAUCACAGUUUUAAGCCCUCCAGUAUUUUUUAAUAAUUUCUGGCGCUGCAGCUGACCUUUUUUUCCAGUCAUUGGAAAACCACAGUUGGAACAAGUAAGUACAGGUUUAAAAUAUAUGAAAGCAAAGCAUGAAAGUGGCUUCUGGGCUUGAUGAUGGUCACAAAAUGAACCAAGAAUUGUUCCUACAAGCCUUAUCUCCAGAAAUGUCUGUGUUUCCCAAUGGGGACUCAAUUACUGAAAGUCAUAUAGUACAGUCUAUCCUUCCUUUUACUUUUGGGUCAUGCUUUUCAUCAUUGUUAUUUGACUGCACUUCCUAAAUUUAUUAUUUAGUUCUAGGUAUUUAGAUUUCUUACACCAAGUGUGAAGCACAAGUCUACGUUAAACUGCUAGAACAUUCACUCUCUUUAUACAGUUGAUGUUCUGUGUUCCUCCUGAUAACUAAAAUGUCAGCAAAUAAGAUACUUCCUUUUAAAUGAGAAAGUGAACAUAUUUACCUGUCUUCAACUGUCUUGUUGGAGGGGUAGAAUACCUUGAAUGAAAAUCCACUUCUUGGAAAUGAACCCUGAAAGAAAAAUGUAUAUACAAAACUUGCAUUAAGUAAUCUACUAUACAAAGAGUAAGAGAUACACUUGAAUGUGACUGCACCCCCUUCUUAUGUUGGUAAAGCAUAAGGAAAACUUACAGGAUUUAUGCAAACACAGUCAGUGUUGGUGACAGUGAAGGGGUCGUAUUUAUCUGCUAUCACAAGCAUGUCUGGCACAGGGUAUACCCUCAGGGCAUAGUCAUAGGCCCAAUACACUGGGCUAACGUACAAUGGAAGUGGCGUCAGAUGUCCCUGUGAUAAUAUGGUCUUUACAAACUGUAAGAUAAACAUAAAUAAGUUAGUUUGAACCAUUUUCUACAAGUCAAAUUAAUUCCUGCACAUGCUGAUGUGCAGGAAUAUAUUAGGGAUAUAUACAUAUGCAGGGGAUUCUUAAUAAAGAAAAUUUGAACUUGGAAA